AAAGCCUCCUGAAAGGAAUCUCUUUCCCUGUGGGACUGCCCAGCUUUCAGCCCUGCUUCUGGGGGAAGAGUUCACCAGAGGACACCUCAUGUAUUUGGAACCAAACGUGCCAUGAAGUGCAGGACUGCUGGAGCCUGUGGGGCUGGAGCAGGUGCUGACGUUGGCCAGGCUGGUGGGACCCCAGGAGGAGAACUCUGAGCCAAUUCCCUUCCCUGUGUGGCUCACCUGGAUAUUCACUGUGGGAUAUUCACUGGGAUAUUCAGUGCUGCUUUCUUGGAACAACUUCCUUCUACA